UCCCUGGUGGCUCAGACGGUAAAGCGUCUGCCUACAAUGCAGCAGAUCAGGGUUCAAUCCCUGGGUUGGGAA
rnacentral:tRNA from 1 species